rnacentral:tRNA from 1 species
GUCUAUCUAAUUUAAAAAAAAUCCUUAUUUUGCGUGUAAGUUAUGAAGAAUCUCUUCGAUAAACA